UCCGAGUUGACCCCGGCAGUCUCCUACGAGUCCCCGGCAUGAUCCGCUGGCAACAUAGGACAAGGGUUGCGCUCGUUGCGGGACUUAACCCAACAUCUCACGACACGAGCUGACGACAGCCAUGCAGCACCCGUGCAAGCUGCCCUUGCGGGCUCAUCCCUCUUUCAAGGUUUUACUACUUGCAUGUCAAGGCCAGGUAAGGUUCUUCGCGUUGCAUCGAAUUAAGCCACAUACUCCACCGCUUGUGCAGGCCCCCGUCAAUUUCUUUGAGUUUUAAUCUUGCGGCCGUACUCCCCAGGCGGGGCACUUAAUGCGUUAGCUACGGCGCGGAAAACGUGGAAUGUCCCCCACACCUAGUGCCCAACGUUUACGGCAUGGACUAC
rnacentral:misc_RNA from 1 species